CAAGUCGAACGGUAGAGGGGGCAACCCCUUGAGAGUGGCGAACGGGUGAGUAAUAUAUCGGAACGUGCCCAGUCGUGGGGGAUAACGUAGCGAAAGUUACGCUAAUACCGCAUACGAUCUAAGGAUGAAAGCGGGGGAUCGCAAGACCUCGCGCGACUGGAGCGGCCGAUAUCAGAUUAGGUAGUUGGUAGGGUAAAGGCCUACCAAGCCAACGAUCUGUAGCUGGUCUGAGAGGACGACCAGCCACACUGGAACUGAGACACGGUCCAGACUCCUACGGGAGGCAGCGGUGGGGAAUUUUGGACAAUGGGCGAAAGCCUGAUCCAGCCAUUCCGCGUGCAGGAUGAAGGCCCUCGGGUUGUAAACUGCUUUUGUACAGAACGAAAAGGUUUCUAUUAAUACUAGGAGCUCAUGACGGUACUGUAAGAAUAAGCACCGGCUAACUACGUGCCAGCAGCCGCGGUAAUACGUAGGGUGCAAGCGUUAAUCGGAAUUACUGGGCGUAAAGCGUGCGCAGGCGGUUAUAUAAGUCAGAUGUGAAAUCCCCGGGCUCAACCUGGGAACUGCAUUUGAGACUGUAUAGCUAGAGUACGGUAGAGGGGGAUGGAAUUCCGCGUGUAGCAGUGAAAUGCGUAGAUAUGCGGAGGAACACCGAUGGCGAAGGCAAUCCCCUGGACCUGUACUGACGCUCAUGCACGAAAACGCGGGGAGCAAACAGGAUUAGAUACCCUGGUAGUCCACGCCCUAAACGAUGUCAACUGGUUGUUGGGUCUUUACUGACUCAGUAACGAAGCUAACGCGUGAAGUUGACCGCCUGGGGAGUACGGCCGCAAGGUUGAAACUCAAAGGAAUUGACGGGGACC
rnacentral:rRNA from 1 species